UCGGAUUGGGUAGAGCCUUAGGUAUGGAACCGCAAGAGGAAUAUCCUAGAAUCGUCUUUUUCUUCUGCUGUUUCAGUUUUUGAGCCCCAAAGUGACAAAAUACUAGGGAAUCGGUCUGGAUUAAAUCCUGGGGAUGAGAUCUGUUAAGUGUGCCAACUGCCCUGUUUUAGUCUGCCCUGCAUAAAAUGUAGAGGGCCGUUUGUCAUCGAGAGUACUCUUUGGGUAAAAAGUAAGACUUUAACUUUUGAAAGACAUUCAAAAAGAUCAAUAUGUUUAGGGUUUUCUAGCAUCCUUAAACGACCCUACUUAAAGUGGAGGUCCUUCAGGACUACGUGGAAAUAAUUUGAAUUUUGAGAACCUGUUGCAGGCAAUAUUCCGCAAGUAAAAUGAUAAAAGUCAAUGUAUAGCCGAAGAGUGACGGUGUAUAUCAUAGGUAAUAUCACUGGAGCAGUUAACGGAAUGCAGCUGCCUCAGCUACUCUCCAUAGGAACCACCUGGAGUCUUGUUUAAAAUGCUGAUUUUAUUUAGUAGGCCCGAGAUUAUACUUACAACAAGCAGCCAAGUGAUAGAGAUUACUUCAUCAGAACCAUUUUCUGAGUUAGUAAAACCUCAGUACUUACCUCGUGCCCUACCGGACACCUCUGACUUUCUCCUCCCUGAACAGCCCAUUGUUCUCUCCUGGCUAACCAGUAGACACAAAGCAAAGAGUUAAGCAUGGGGGUGGGAGGAGAACCCCAGAUCUGAGUUCUUGCUUACAGCUUUCUACUUAUGAUAGUGGUCUGGUUCCACAUAUUAUAGUUUUGUUUCUUCACCACCAAGUUAGAUGUAAUAAUGCCCGCCCUUUGUCACAGAGUUGCUGUGUUUUAAAUGUCAUAAUGUGAAAGGACACUGUAGGCUGUUACUGCUUAUAUCAAUGCUGUUUUAAGAUAGCGUACAAAUAAUGGGUUUCCCUGUGACAGUGUCAUGUAUAUGUCACACUUUGUUCUUGUUACCCCCUACACACACUGCUGCUCCUCCUUGCUAUCAGUCACAACUCAGAUAUUUAACUGGCCAGAGUGAAAUAUGAAACAUUUUGAAAUAUAUAUAUGUAUAUAUAAUAAAAUAGAUUAUAUCUAUGAAAAUUAUGUGCCGGGCAUGACACUUGUUUUCUUUUACAAAUGAAGAAACUGGGCACAGAUUGCUAUUACACCAAGGGGACAGAGCUAUUAAGUGGGAGAAGUGGAAUUUGAAUAAGCCAGGGUGCACAGAUUAGUGAGGAACCUAACUGGAACCUACCAACUAGAAACUCAACAUACAGGGAGGACAAUUAAGCAAACUUCAAAGAAACCAGUUCCUGUUGCCCUAAUCUAACAAGUUUCAACAAAGAAGUACACUGAAACUUUACUGCUAUGCAAUAAAGCACAGCAAACUGG
rnacentral:lncRNA from 1 species